GCCAGGCACAGUGGCUUGUGCCUGUAAUCCUAGUGCUUUGGGAGGCUGAGGUGGGAGGAUCACUUGAGCCCAGGAGUUUGAGACUAGCCUGGGCAAUAUAGUGAGACGCCAUCUCUA
rnacentral:sRNA from 1 species